rnacentral:lncRNA from 1 species
CAGGAAUGUGUGGCUCACAGUUCUGGAAGACGGAGGUCCGAGGUCGAAGGCCCAGCAGCUUCGGUGUCUGGUGCGGAACCGCCUUCCAGCUGAUGCAGGAGACUGAGGCACAAAGAGGAGGUGCCUCACUAGGGCCGGCUUGGGUUUAUAGUGUGCCCUCGGAAAGCUCUGGAAGAAUGGAGUCUACGUUUCGGCUCAAGCUGCAGCCAGAAGCAGCCAUGGGAACCCAGCACCCAGCCAGACCCGAGCCUCCUGGGCCGCUGAAAAACAAACCAGACCAGAGCCCCCAAGACGGGACCCGUGUCAGCAGAGCUAUGGGGAGAAUUGCACGGCGCGUGCCUUCUGCUGCUUAAAUCCAUCCCGCUAAGUGCUGGGGGCUUUAUGCGCUAUGGGACUCUCAGUCCGG